rnacentral:rRNA from 1 species
AGCUCCAAUAGCGUAUAUUAAAGUUGUUGCAGUUAAAAAGCUCGUAGUUGGAUUUCUGGUGGGAGCGUUGGGCCGGCCCUAAGGGUUUGUGCUCAAAUGUUUUCCGCCAUCCUUAGGUGGAACCUCUCUGGCAUUAAGUUGUCGGGGUUGUAAAACCUAUCGUUUACUGUGAAAAAAUUAGAGUGUUCAAAGCAGGCUUAUGCCGUUGAAUAUAUUAGCAUGGAAUAAUAAGAUAAGACUUCGGUACUAUUUUGUUGGUUUGCGUACCAAAGUAAUGCUUAAAAGGAACAGUUGGGGCUAUUCGUAUUGCAUUGUCAGAGGUGAAAUUCUUGGAUUUAUGCAAGACGAACUACUGCGAAAGCAUUUAGCAAGGAUGUUUUCA